UUUUGCUAGUAGAUCACUGGGGAUGAUGGUGAGUGGUGUCACUUCCACUUCCACCCCUUGAUUCCUGGAGCUGUGAGUCCUGGCUAUGGGAGAAACAGUGCCAUAUAUGGGACGCUGAUUCAGAGCAUACACAGUCUUCUGGAAAACUUUGCCCCAGCUCUGCAAAGUAUUGUUACCUUGUUGGCAUUGUAAUUGUGACUUCAAAAGGCCGUUCCAUCAUUUUAUCAAUUCGGCUGCUUCAGGAUGACAGAUAACAUGGAAAGGACUCCAGCUUAUGAAAGAAAACGCAAAGAAAGAAGAGACCAUUCCACUGAGUGGUUAGUGAUAAAAAAGCAAGCAAGAAGUAAGAGAGAGGGG